rnacentral:rRNA from 1 species
GAACGCGAAGAACCUUACCUGGCCUUGACAUACUAGAAACUUUCCAGAGAUGGAUUGGUGCCUUCGGGAAUCUAGAUACAGGUGCUGCAUGGCUGUCGUCAGCUCGUGUCGUGAGAUGUUGGGUUAAGUCCCGCAACGAGCGCAACCCUUUUCCUUACUUGCCAGCAUUUCGGAUGGGAACUUUAAGGAUACUGCCAGUGACAAACUGGAGGAAGGCGGGGACGACGUCAAGUCAUCAUGGCCCUUACGGCCAGGGCUACACACGUGCUACAAUGGUCGGUACAAAGGGUUGCUACACAGCGAUGUGAUGCUAAUCUCAAAAAGCCGAUCGUAGUCCGGAUUGGAGUCUGCAACUCGACUCCAUGAAGCCGGAAUCGCUAGUAAUCGCGGAUCAGAAUGCCGCGGUGAAUACGUUCCCGGGUCUUGUACACACC